rnacentral:rRNA from 1 species
AGCCUGAUGCAGCGACGCCGCGUGAGGGAUGACGGCCUUCGGGUUGUAAACCUCUUUCGACAGGGACGAAGCGCAAGUGACGGUACCUGUAGAAGAAGCACCGGCCAACUACGUGCCAGCAGCCGCGGUAAUACGUAGGGUGCGAGCGUUGUCCGGAAUUACUGGGCGUAAAGAGCUUGUAGGCGGUUCGUCGCGUCGAUUGUGAAAACUUGCAGCUCAACUGCAAGCUUGCAGUCGAUACGGGCGGACUAGAGUACUUCAGGGGAGACUGGAAUUCCUGGUGUAGCGGUGAAAUGCGCAGAUAUCAGGAGGAACACCGGUGGCGAAGGCGGGUCUCUGGGAAGUAACUGACGCUGAGAAGCGAAAGCGUGGGUAGCGAACAGGAUUAGAUACCCUGGUAGUCCACGCCGUAAACGGUGGGUACUAGGUGUGGGUUUCCUUCCACGGGAUCCGUGCCGUAGCUAACGCAUUAAGUACCCCGCCUGGG